GAUGAACGCUGGCGGCGUGCCUAAUACAUGCAAGUCGAGCGAACAGAUGAGGAGCUUGCUCCUCUGACGUUAGCGGCGGACGGGUGAGUAACACGUGGAUAACCUACCUAUAAGACUGGGAUAACUUCGGGAAACCGGAGCUAAUACCGGAUAAUAUAUUGAACCGCAUGGUUCAAUAGUUAAAGACGGUUUUGCUGUCACUUAUAGAUGGAUCCGCGCCGCAUUAGCUAGUUGGUAAGGUAACUGCUUACCAAGGCAACGAUGCGUAGCCGACCUGAGAGGGUGAUCGGCCACACUGGAACUGAGACACGGUCCAGACUCCUACGGGAGGCAGCAGUAGGGAAUCUUCCGCAAUGGGCGAAAGCCUGACGGAGCAACGCCGCGUGAGUGAUGAAGGUCUUCGGAUCGUAAAACUCUGUUAUUAGGGAAGAACAAAUGUGUAAGUAACUAUGCACGUCUUGACGGUACCUAAUCAGAAAGCCACGGCUAACUACGUG
rnacentral:rRNA from 1 species